GGCUAAGGUGUCUUGGCUAAGGUGUCUUGGCUAAGGUGUCUUGGCUAAGGUGUCUCGGCUAAUGUGUCUUGGCUAAGGUGUCUUGGCUAAUGUGUCUUGGCUAAGGUGUCUUGGCUAAGGUGUCUUGGCUAAUGUGUCUUGGCUAUGGUGUCUUGGCUAAGGUGUCUUGGCUAAUGUGUCUUGGCUAAGGUGUCUUGGCUAAUGUGUCUCGGCUAAUGUGUCUUGGCUAAGGUGUCUUGGCUAAGGUGUCUUGGCUAAGGUGUCGUGGCUAAUGUGUCUUGGCUAAGGUGUCUUGGCUAAGGUGUCUUGGCUAAGGUGUCUUGGCUAAGGUGUUUUGGCUAAUGUGUCUUGGCUAAGGUGUCUUGGCUAAGGUGUCUUGGCUAAGGUGUCUUGGCUAAUGUGUCUUGGCUAAGGUGUCUUGGCUAAUGUGUCUUGGCUAAAGUGUCUCGGCUAAGGUGUCUUGGCUAAGGUGUCUUGGCUAAGGUGUCUUGGCUAAUGUGUCUUGGCUAAGGUGUCUUGGCUAAUGUGUCUCGGCUAAGGUGUCUUGGCUAAGGUGUCUUGGCUAAGGUGUCUUGGCUAAUGUGUCUUGGCUAAGGUGUAUUGGCUAAGGUGUCUUGGCUAAUGUGUCUUGGCUAAGGUGUCUUGGCUAAUGUGUCUCGGCUAAUGUGUCUUGGCUAAGGUGUCUUGGUUAAGGUGUCUUGGCUAAUGUGUCUUGGCUAAUGUGUCUUGGCUAAGGUGUCUUGGCUAAGGUGUCUUGGCUAAUGUGUCUUGGCUAAUGUGUCUUGGCUAAGGUGUCUUGGCUAAUGUGUCUUGGCUAAUGUGUCUUGGCUAAUGUGUCUUGGCUAAUGUGUCUUGGCUAAGGUGUCUUGGCUAAUGUGUCUUGGCUAAGGUGUCUUGGCUAAUGUGUCUUGGCUAAUGUGUCUUGGCUAAUGUGUCUUGGCUAAGGUGUCUUGGCUAAUGUGUCUUGGCUAAGGUGUCUUGGCUAAUGUGUCUUGGCUAAGGUGUCUUGGCUAAGGUGUCUUGGCUAAUGUGUCUUGGCUAAGGUGUCUUGGCUAAGGUGUCUUGGCUAAGGUGUCUUGGCUAAUGUGUCUUGGCUAAGGUGUCUUGGCUAAAGUGUCUUGGCUAAUGUGUCUCGGCUAAGGUGUCUUGGCUGAGGUGUCUCGGCUAAUGUGUCUUGGCUAAUGUGUCUUGGCUAAGGUGUCUUGGCUAAUGUGUCUCGGCUAAGGUGUCUUGGCUAAAGUGUCUUGGCUAAUGUGUCUCGGCUAAGGUGUCUUGGCUAAUGUGUCUUGGCUAAAGUGUCUUGGCUAAGGUGUCUUGGCUAAGGUGUCUUGGCUAAUGUGUCUUGGCUAAGGUGUCUUGGCUAAUGUGUCUUGGCUAAGGUGUCUUGGCUAAUGUGUCUUGGCUAAGGUGUCUUGGCUAAUGUGUCUUGGCUAAGGUGUCUUGGCUAAUGUGUCUUGGCUAAUGUGUCUUGGCUAAGGUGUCUUGGCUAAGGUGUCUUGGCUAAGGUGUCUUGGCUAAGGUGUCUUGGCUAAUGUGUCUUGGCUAAGGUGUCUUGGCUAAGGUGUCUUGGCUAAUGUGUCUUGGCUAAGGUGUCUUGGCUAAGGUGUCUUGGCUAAAGUGUCUUGGCUAAGGUGUCUUGGCUAAUGUGUCUCGGCUAAGGUGUCUUGGCUAAAGUGUCUUGGCUAAGGUGUCUUGGCUAAUGUGUCUUGGCUAAGGUGUCUUGGCUAAUGUGUCUUGGCUAAUGUGUCUUGGCUAAGGUGUCUUCACUAAGGUGUCUUGGCUAAGGUGUCUUGGCUAAU